rnacentral:rRNA from 1 species
UACGUAGGGUGCAAGCGUUGUCCGGAAUUAUUGGGCGUAAAGAGCUCGUAGGCGGUUUGUUGCGUCGGCUGUGAAAUCCCGAGGCUCAACCUCGGGUCUGCAGUCGAUACGGGCAAGCUAGAAUUCGGUAGGGGAGACUGGAAUUCCUGGUGUAGCGGUGAAAUGCGCAGAUAUCAGGAGGAACACCGGUGGCGAAGGCGGGUCUCUGGGCCGAUAUUGACGCUGAGGAGCGAAAGCGUGGGGAGCAAACAGG